GGGGACGGGCGAACAUCAGCAUAUAAGGAAGGGUGCACCACCCAACAUUUAACAGUUACCAGUUAUCACUGCAAGACAGUCGGUGAACAAUCAUUUGUGCACAUACACACACGUACGGUCAAGAUGAGUCAAAUCACCAAAGAUUUCCUAAACGACCGCAGCGAGUUCGUGUUGGAAUCGAGGAGACGUCACAUUACGGAGAUUCAACCCUUCGUCCCAUACAGAGUGAUACGGUUCGAAACGGUCGUUACAAAGCACGAUGCGCGUACGCCCGCCGUAGAAUUACGCUUGGGCGAUAAUCCACAACCCAUACGCGUAUACUUGCCAACCAGAUUCAGAAUGACCGACGAAGAACUACAGAAGCCGAUAGAUUCUAAUCUAACAAUGAUCUACAAGGGAAAGAAGAACGGGUCCAACGUCCACGAUGUCGUAUUUUUAUAAUAUUAUGGAUAAUGACGGACCGUUCGACGACUGACCUGCAGUACAACACACGCGCAAAUAUAUAAGUAGCA